CUCAUUAAAUCAGUUAUAGUUUAUUUGAUGGUCUCUUUUGUCUUUUUUUACCUACUUGGAUAACCGUGGUAAUUCUAGAGCUAAUACAUGCGCAAGGUCCCGAGCGCGGGGGGCAGGGCUUCACGGCUCUACUCUUGCAUGCGUAGAGGGAUGUAUUUAUUAGGUUAAAAACCAGCAGCCGGCAACGGCUUCAACUCCUGGUGAUUCAUAGUAACUCUUUCGGAUCGCAUUCAUG
rnacentral:rRNA from 1 species